rnacentral:rRNA from 1 species
GAUGAACGCUGGCGGCGUGCCUAAUACAUGCAAGUCGAGCGAACGGACGAGAAGCUUGCUUCUCUGAUGUUAGCGGCGGACAGGUGAGUAACACGUGGAUAACCUACCUAUAAGACUGGGAUAACUUCGGGAAACCGGAGCUAAUACCGGAUAAUAUUUUGAACCGCAUGGUUCAAAAGUGAAAGACGGUCUUGCUGUCACUUAUAGAUGGAUCCGCGCUGCAUUAGCUAGUUGGUAAGGUAACGGCUUACCAAGGCAACGAUGCAUAGCCGACCUGAGAGGGUGAUCGGCCACACUGGAACUGAGACACGGUCCAGACUCCUACGGGAGGCAGCAGUAGGGAAUCUUCCGCAAUGGGCGAAAGCCUGACGGAGCAACGCCGCGUGAGUGAUGAAGGUCUUCGGAUCGUAAAACUCUGGUAUUAGGGAAGAACAUAUGUGUAAGUAACUGUGCACAUCUUGACGGUACCUAAUCAGAAAGCCACGGCUAACUACGUG